AUGACACUUUUUCUUCUUUAUUCCUCUCACACCAGCGGUGGCGUGGCUUCACUCAAAUUCAUCAUCUCCUUCGUGGUUUCAUCUUCCUCAUUCAGCCAUCGUGAUACCUACAUCGCACUGCGGUUCACAUCUCCAUUCGACACCGCCGCCAUAACCUUACAACCAUACAUUUCCUUUUUUCUCUUUUUCAUCUAUGUUACCGGAGCGCAUCCGGCGAAAAGACGCCUCCGUCCUCACUUUCUCAACCCACAAACCUAG